rnacentral:lncRNA from 1 species
ACCCCCAAAUAUCGACCAAUCUCCAGUCAAAUCCGACCAACACCCGACUCUGUCAACCAAACAGACGGACGACCCUGAAAGUGACUACCGACUGAGUUUUGACCAAGCAGGCUGACCGACCGUCUUCAUGGCCGACUCACCAUGGCCGACUUACCAUCUUCAUGGCCGACUCACCAUGGCCGACUUACCAUCUUCAUGGCCGACC